rnacentral:lncRNA from 1 species
UUGGAUAUAUGUCAAAAAGAAGUGAACAGAGCUUGGUGGCAACCACCAUUAAGUUCUGAUUCAUGGAAGCCUGUCCAAUCUUAAUCACUGUCAUGAAAUAAAACAGACCUUGAUUUAAGAGAGAGAUUAGAGAGAGAGGAAAAUAGGAACUAACUUUUUACCUGCAGAUCCAGAAUACUUGUCUGAAAGCUAGGAUAUUGCAUAAUGUAUUUCUGUAAAAAGGAACUUUUAGAUGUGGAAUGCAAUAUUAUAGAGGUGAUGAUUUCCAUGUUUCAAAUCUUUGAGUCCC